GGUUGAUCCUGCCAGUAGUCAUAUGCUUGUCUCAAAGAUUAAGCCAUGCAUGUCUAAGUAUAAGCUUUUAUACGGCGAAACUGCGAAUGGCUCAUUAAAACAGUUAUAGUUUAUUUGAUGGUUACUAACUACAUGGAUAACCGUGGUAAUUCUAGAGCUAAUACAUGCGUAAAAGCCCAACUUUACGGAAGGGCUGUAUUUAUUAGAUAAAGAACCAAUCCAUGCUUGCAUGGUUUCCUGGUGAUUCAUAAUAACUGAUCGAAUCGCAUGGCUUUGCCGGCGAUGUAUCAUU
rnacentral:rRNA from 1 species